AAAGUCUGACCGAGCAACGCCGCGUGAGUGAAGAAGGUUUUCGGAUCGUAAAACUCUGUUGUUAGAGAAGAACAAGGAUGAGAGUAGAACGUUCAUCCCUUGACGGUACCUUAGGAGGAAGCCCCGGCUAACUACGUGCCAGCAGCCGCGGUAAUACGUAGGGGGCGAGCGUUGUCCGGAUUUACUGGGCGUAAAGGGUGCGUAGGCGGCCUUGUAAGUCAGAUGUGAAAGGCUACGGCUCAACCGUAGUAAGCAUUGGAAACUGCAGGGCUUGAGUGCAGGAGAGGAGAGUGGAAUUCCUAGUGUAGCGGUGAAAUGCGUAGAUAUUAGGAGGAACACCAGUGGCGAAGGCGACUCUCUGGACUGUAACUGACGCUGAGGCACGAAAGCGUGGGGAGCAAACA
rnacentral:rRNA from 2 species